rnacentral:rRNA from 1 species
CCUACGGGAGGCAGCAGUGAGGAAUAUUGGUCAAUGGGCGCGAGCCUGAACCAGCCAAGUCGCGUGAGGGAAGACGGUCCUAUGGAUUGUAAACCUCUUUUGUCGGGGAGCAAAAGACGCCACGCGUGGCGUUCCGAGAGUACCCGAAGAAAAAGCAUCGGCCAACUCCGUGCCAGCAGCCGCGGUAAUACGGAGGAUGCGAGCGUUAUCCGGAUUUAUUGGGUUUUAAGGGUGCGCAGGCGGAAGAUCAAGUCAGCGGUAAAAUUGAGAGGCUCAACCUCUUCGAGCCGUUGAAACUGGUGUUCUUGAGUGAGCGAGAAGUAUGCGGAAUGCGUGGUGUAGCGGUGAAAUGAAUAGAUAUCACGCAGAACUCCGAUUGCGAAGGCAGCAUACCGGCGCUCAACUGACGCUCAUGCACGAAAGUGUGGGUAUCGAACAGGAUUAGAUACCCUUGUAGUC